rnacentral:rRNA from 1 species
GACGAACGCUGGCGGCGUGCCUAAUACAUGCAAGUCGAGCGAAUCAAUGGGAGCUUGCUCCCUGAGAUUAGCGGCGGACGGGUGAGUAACACGUGGGUAACCUGCCUGUAAGACUGGGAUAACUUCGGGAAACCGGAGCUAAUACCGGAUACAUUCUUUUCUCGCAUGAGGAGAGAUGGAAAGAUGGUUCUGCUAUCACUUACAGAUGGACCCGCGGCGCAUUAGCUAGUUGGUGAGGUAAUGGCUCACCAAGGCGACGAUGCGUAGCCGACCUGAGAGGGUGAUCGGCCACACUGGGACUGAGACACGGCCCAGACUCCUACGGGAGGCAGCAGUAGGGAAUCUUCCGCAAUGGACGAAAGUCUGACGGAGCAACGCCGCGUGAGCGAAGAAGGCCUUCGGGUCGUAAAGCUCUGUUGUUAGGGAAGAACAAGUACGAGAGUAACUGCUCGUACCUUGACGGUACCUAACCAGAAAGCCACGGCUAACUACGUGCCAGCCGCCGCAGUAACAC